UCUCCAUAGCGUAAAAGUUAACUCAAAUUUGUGUAUGGAGUUGGAAUGUUUGCCUGCGUUUGCCGCUAGGGGCGCUGUUCCCACUGCAUACAAAUUUGGGUUAACUUUUACGCUAUCGA
rnacentral:pre_miRNA from 9 species